CAGUCGCCGCGGUAAUGCGUAGGGUGCGAGCGUUAAUCGGAAUUACUGGGCGUAAAGCGUGCGCAGGCGGUUAUAUAAGACAGAUGUGAAAUCCCCGGGCUCAACCUGGGACCUGCAUUUGUGACUGUAUAGCUAGAGUACGGUAGAGGGGGAUGGAAUUCCGCGUGUAGCAGUGAAAUGCGUAGAUAUGCGGAGGAACACCGAUGGCGAAGGCAAUCCCCUGGACCUGUACUGACGCUCAUGCACGAAAGCGUGGGGAGCAAACAGGAUUAGAUACCCCUGUAGUCCCUGUCUCUUAUAC
rnacentral:rRNA from 1 species